GUUGUUUACAUUUUUGGUGGUUAUGAUUCUCUCCGUACCUUUUUCGUUUUUUUUGUGUUGUGUUUGUGGUCAAAAGUGUAAGGAAAACAAUGUGCCUACAUACGGGACUCCCACUCACAAACUAAAUUACAAGUGUGGCAAGUAUGAGGACCUAAUAGGAUCUUAGACAAACCCGAGUGAUUUAACAAACUGCAAGUGUACAAGAAUUACAGGAAAUAUAAGAAAACAAUUAAGCUGCAAGUUUUACUACUAACAAUCACAAGAAAUACUCCUUGACAAUUACAAAUUCUUGUAAAACUCACUGUGGGAAAGUUUUCGUUUGUCAUCACAUUUAGUGAAAAUGAAAUUGCCUUUUGGGUGGUCAAAAAUUACAGAAAUUAUUACCGCAGAAAAUGGGAAAUUACCAGAAUCAGUUCAGCUGCAACUGCAGUAGGAGGAAUCUAAACUAUAAAUCUGCAGGAUAUUUUUGGGAAGUCAUUACAGGAAAUUUUUGAGAAUUACCAGGAAUUCUAGUUUACCAAAAGAUGAAAUUGUAAGGAAACAAUGGAUAACAUUCCUUGUCAAAAAUGGAGCUGCCAGGGAGGCUGAUAGUUUUAAUAGAGCAUCCAUAUCACUCCUUUAAGCUAUAGAAGAGGUGGUAAACACUUGGUACAGUAGGCAGUGCAGUGUCUUUUAGGUAGAUAUUGUGAACAGUUGUAAAUCGGGUGACUUGUUUUCUUGCCAUUCUAUGUGCUGAUGGUACUUAAUGGCCAACCCAUAUUUACAAUGCCAAAUGGUCCCUUUUUUUUCCAACCCGACUGAUAAAAUUUAUCAAUAUGUUACCAACUUUGUUUCGGUCUAAAAUAUUUAUAUUUUUCCUGCAUAAUUUGUGACGGAAAAUUUUCCAUCUUGAACAUAUGAGAAAUUUUUGUUGAUACGGGGAUGUUUUUGGGCUUUAUUUCAGCAGACACCAGCAGAUCUUUAAUCUUGAAAACAACAUUACAAGUUAUAGAGAAGCCUGGCACAUAAUAACCAGCGGUCAUCAGUUUUUAAAAAGAACUUAAGGCACAGUAACAUAUUGUCAACAAGUAAAGUACUUCUGAUUUAAAUUUUAUUUCGAAUUUACAGUUAAUAAAAUUUUUGCUUUAGUUAUUAUACUAAUAAUUAAAAAUAGUUUAAUGUAUUAUAAAGGAAUAUUUUUUUUAUUGCUUACAUCUUCUUUUUUGCAAUUUUUAAAGGUGGUGAUAAAGUAAUAAAAAAGUUCCUUGAAAAGAGUAACACUGAAGUAUCUUAUGUCGGACGCCAUUGUGCAAAUAAAAAAUAAAUAUUAUUAUGCUAUUAAAAAAUGCAGCGUUUAUUUCUAUUUAAUUUCUUAUUGUAUUUG